rnacentral:piRNA from 1 species
UGGGUAUGUGUGGAAUGCCAGGAAGCCUC